rnacentral:rRNA from 1 species
AUUGAACGCUGGCGGCAUGCCUUACACAUGCAAGUCGAACGGCAGCACGGGAGCAAUCCUGGUGGCGAGUGGCGAACGGGUGAGUAAUAUAUCGGAACGUGCCCAGUCGUGGGGGAUAACGUAGCGAAAGCUACGCUAAUACCGCAUACGAUCUAUGGAUGAAAGCGGGGGUCGCAAGACCUCGCGCGAUUGGAGCGGCCGAUAUCAGAUUAGCUAGUUGGUGGGGUAAAAGGACCCACCAAGGCGACGAUCUGUAGCUGGUCUGAGAGGACGACCAGCCACACUGGAACUGAGACACGGUCCAGACUCCUACGGGAGGCAGCAGUGGGGAAUUUUGGACAAUGGGCGCAAGCCUGAUCCAGCAAUGCCGCGUGCAGGAUGAAGGCCUCGGUUGUAAACUAGCUUUGUUACGGAACGAAACGGUAGAGCUCUAAUAAAGUUUAGUCUAAUGACGGUACCGUAAGAAUAAGCACCGGCGUAACUAACGUGCCAGC